UCACCGCAAUUUCCUUUCGCUUCUACGCAUGUGCGAGCUUUGUUUAUAUUUUUCGUUUUGGUGUGAAUCCAUUUCAUUUGCACAACAUGAAGUAUUCAGAAAACUAAAUUAAAAUGGCGGACGCAUCAAGAGUGAAGAGUGGAGCUUUAUAAAACCAUUCAACAAUUGUCUUUUAAAAGACAACCAAAUAAAUAUUUUGAAAAACAACUACUGGAAGAUAUCUCCUGAUUCAGAUUUAUGAGCAAGAUAAUCAUGCUUCAAUGGUCAAAGUAGCUCUUCUGAGUGUGUUUCAUCAUAGACAUCAAUGCCAUGUGGGUCAACAUCACUGAAUGAAACUGCUUCAAUACGAAAGCUUACAAGUGAAGAUAUAGAUAGGAGAGGAUUUUGAUGGCGAGUAUGGUUAUCGAAUGAUUGAACUUUCAAACCUAGCAAGUGCAUUUCAGUCCUUGCAUAAUUGGGAAUUAGGCGGAGAGUUGAAAGUUACCGAUGAUGAGUCUCGUAGAUAUGGAAAUAGCACAGUCAUUGUUGAGUCAGAUAUUGCAGAGAUUGCUGGGCAAAUUGAAAAGAGUCAGGGUGAUAUUGUUGCAGACAAGGAUGUUAUCAUUCGUCGUUCAUGGUUGAAUGAUGCGAAACAUAUGUUACGCUGAUACAGACAGAGCCACAGCAUCGGCAGUCCUUAUAUUGUGGGUUUGGCAUUUCAUUUGCUUAAUCGCACACGUUUUGAUCGCCAGUUGCUAUUGGGGUUGAAUCGGGAAUUUUGUCUUGGGAAGUACUCACGUCUGUUGCAUUGUGAUCUAAUAUAAUUGGAAAGAGCAAAAUAACGUAAAUGAAUUGUAUGCCGGGCAGAAACAGGUAUUGCAUUGAGUUAGGUGCACGCAACUGUUGUAACGAGCAUAAAUAUUCGCAUGCAAGCUGAAUAAGUCAAAUAAAACGAACCUAUUUUGGGUCUCUUUAUUAUUUUUUGCGCGACUUCAAUGGCCUGUAAAUUAGACACAGAAAAAUUUGUA